UAACGGCGAGUGAGCGGCAACAGCUCAAAUUUGAAAUCUGGCGGCCUCUGGGCCGUCCGAGUUGUAAUUUGAAGAGGAUGCUUUUGGCGAGGCGCCUUCCGAGUGCCCUGGAACGGGACGCCACAGAGGGUGAGAGCCCCGUAUGGUUGGACGCCGAGCCUCUGUAAAGCUCCUUCGACGAGUCGAGUAGUUUGGGAAUGCUGCUCAAAAUGGGAGGUAAACCCCUUCUAAAGCUAAAUACUGGCCAGAGACCGAUAGCGCACAAGUAGAGUGAUCGAAAGAUGAAAAGCACUUUGAAAAGAGAGUUAAACAGCACGUGAAAUUGUUGAAAGGGAAGCGCUUGCGACCAGACUUGUGCCCGUCGAAUCAGCCGCCGCUCGUCGGCGGCGCACUUCGGCGGGCUCAGGCCAGCAUCAGUUCGCUGCAGGGGGAGAAAGGCGAUGGGAAUGUGGCUCUUCGGAGUGUUAUAGCCCGCCGCGCAAUACCCCUCGGCGGACUGAGGACCGCGCAUCUGCAAGGAUGCU
rnacentral:rRNA from 1 species